rnacentral:rRNA from 1 species
AUAAGAGGUCCAGCCUGCCCAGUGACUCUGUUCAACGGCCGCGGUAUCCUAACCGUGCGAAGGUAGCGUAAUCACUUGUUCUCUAAAUAAGGACUAGUAUGAAUGGCACCACGAGGGUUAUACUGUCUCCUUCCUCCAAUCAGUGAAACUAAUCCCCCCGUGAAGAAGCGAGGAUAAACCUAUAAGACGAGAAGACCCUAUGGAGCUUUAAACACAGUAACAACUGCCCACACCCCCUUCCUGGGGGUUAAGUAUUUGGGCUCCUUGAUUACAAGUUUUAGGUUGGGGUGACCACGGAGCAAAAAACAACCUCCGCAGUGAAUAGGGCCUUUUUUCCCUAAACCCAGGACUACAACCCUAAGAUUCAACAAAUUGACACCCAUUGACCCAGUUUCUGAUCAAUGAACCAAGUUACCCUAGGGAUAACAGCGCAAUCCACUUCAAGAGCUCCUAUCGACAAGUGGGUUUACGACCUCGAUGUUGGAUCAGGGCAUCCUAGUGGUGUAGCCGCUACUAAAGGUUCGUUUGUUCAACGAUUAAAACCCUACGUGAUCUGAGUUCAGACCGGAGUAAUCCAGGUCAGUUUCUAUCUAUAAAGAGUUUUCUCCAGUACGAAAGGACCGAAAAAACAUGGCCAAUGCCCCCAGUAAGCCAUAACAACCUAUUUAUGACACAAU